AGAGAGAGACAUGCGCGCAUAUCAAUAAGCGGAGGAAAAGAAACUAACUAGGAUUCCCUCAGUAACGGCGAGUGAAGCGGGAAGAGCUCAAAUUUGAAAUCUUCAAGGUUCUACCUUGACGAAUUGUAGUUUAAAGAAGUGUUUUCUGUUGGAGUUUUGGUAAAAGUUCUUUGGAAUAGGACAUCAUAGAGGGUGAGAAUCCCGUAUUUGACCAUUAUUUCCAGCUUUGUGAUACACUUUCAAAGAGUCGGAUUGUUUGGGAAUGCAGUCCAAAAUGGGUGGUAAAUUUCAUCUAAAGCUAAAUACUUGGCGAGAGACCGAUAGCGAACAAGUACCGUGAGGGAAAGAUGAAAAGAACUUUGAAAAGAGAGCUAAACAGUACGUGAAAUUGUCAAAAGGGAAGCGUUUGACACCAGUGUUGUUUUUCUGAAAAUCAAUUAAAGAACUGUUUAUGCUAAGCUGUUUAGACUUUAUCAGCUAUCUGUUUAGUUUUGAGCUUUUCUUUAAUGCACUUUUCAGUUAACAAGUCAACAUCAAUUUCUUUUGCUGUAAAAAAGCUUGAGGAAGGUGGCUUGAGAUUCGUCUUAAGUGUUUAUAGCCUCUUGCCUAUGCAGUCGGAGAGAUUGAGGUCUGCAGCGUAGAUCCUUCGGGGCUAAAUGCAUUUGUGCUAAGUUAUAACAUUUUAUAGACAACUUGUUGACUAUGAUUUGUCUUGUAGCUUACUCGCUUAUGUUAUUUUACCUACGCUUAGGAUGUUGAUGUGAUACUGCGAGCA
rnacentral:rRNA from 1 species